rnacentral:misc_RNA from 1 species
ACAGAGGCAACACGAGAACAGUGGAAUCAGACUCGGUGAGUCUAUACACAGACUUUAUGUUCAAAACGGAGGAAGCGAGAUUAAGCUGAGUCAAAGGCACGCCUUUGGGGCGGCUGGUUGUUCCAGAGGUGUGGAGGAAGAGCGCCAUGUCAGACGAGUCGUUUACGAGUUCACUGACGGAGCCGACAUUUGACUCGGUAUUUGACGAAGAGAG